rnacentral:rRNA from 1 species
GUACACACCGCCCGUCAAGCCAUGGAAGCCGGGAGUGCCUGAAGUGCGUGACCGCAAGGAGCGCCCUAAGGCAAUACCGGUGACUGGGGCUAAGUCGUAACAAGGUACC